rnacentral:rRNA from 1 species
UGGGGGAAUAUUGGGCAAUGGACGCAAGUCUGACCCAGCAACGCCGCGUGAAGGAAGAAGGCUUUCGGGUUGUAAACUUCUUUUAAGGGGGAAGAGAAGAAGACGGUACCCCUUGAAUAAGCCACGGCUAACUACGUGCCAGCAGCCGCGGUAAUACGUAGGGGGCAAGCGUUAUCCGGAUUUACUGGGUGUAAAGGGAGCGUAGACGGCUGUGCAAGUCUGAAGUGAAAGGCAUGGGCUCAACCUGUGGACUGCUUUGGAAACUGUGCAGCUAGAGUGUCGGAGAGGUAAGUGGAAUUCCUAGUGUAGCGGUGAAAUGCGUAGAUAUUAGGAGGAACACCAGUAGGCGAAGGCGGCUUACUGGACGAUGAC